AGCGAGACACAAAACGAGAAGAAACCGGCGACAUUUUGUUUUGCGUCCGAGAGACUUUUGGCGAAGCUAAAAUAUUUCCUAAAUAUUUGAUCAUCUCAAAAUGUCAAGUCAAAUCCAGAGCUUGCAGAAACAGUUGGGACAGCUUCGUCUUGAGGCUAAUGUACAACGAAUCCCAGUUUCGCAAGCGAUUGAGGAAAUUAUGAAUUACACAAACCAGCAUGCCCCAGAAGAUGGCUUGGUGAAUGGAGUGAUACAGUCUGUGAAUCCAUUCAGAGACCAAAAAAGUUGCAUAAUAGUCUGAUUUAGAUAAUCCUGUAAUGCCGAUCAUCCGUAGUAUCAAGAUCUCCAAAAAAAGGAAAUGAAAGGAUCUGCAACUGAAGGACCAAAAUUGGGCAUCGUGCAACAUUUAUGUUUAAAAGAAAAACAUUUUUGACAACACUCUUUUUUAUAUCGAGCACAAUUUAUAAUUUGUUAAAACUACAAUUUCUUAAGUGGAACUGUCGGAAAAUGAAUUUCAUGAAAAGGUCUUGAAAAACUUCUACAAUAAGACUAUUAUCUUUUUAAAUCAUUUAUUGUAUUUAAAUUUUCAAUCUCAUAUUCUUUUGUUUUUUCAACCAUUUAAUGACUAUCUUCUUUACAAUGUGAGAUAUAUAUGCUGCUCAGAUCCUGUUGGUCUUGCUAGUGUUUUUACAAUGAGAUUUUGAAUAUUUUUUAACGCCUUAGAUUAUUCUGCUUGAAUUGGAUACAUCUUGUUAUUUUAUAUAUAUAUAUCUAUAUCUAGCUAUAGCAAGUAUCUGAAACUGAAAUCUCAGUCAGUAACCUUUGAUAGACUAUUUUCUUACAAGAAAUUCUAAAUUGAUAUCACUAGGAUGUAAUACAGUAAUAACACAGCACACUGCAUAUAUAUUGAAACCUCACGGGACAAAUGUUAUAUAAUAUAAAUCUAAUUUCCAGUUAUCCUGACCUUAUCAAUACAGGUAAACUCUUCAUGUUGCAAGUUUUGACCUUUUGACCCAGCUGACCGACUGAGAGUUUGGAUAAUUGAAAGCUCGCAUAUAUAUAUUGUAGAAUUCUUAACUGCUUUUUGAAAAUUUAUAUCACACUUCAUGUUUUUAGGAGUGAAUCAAUGAUUUGACCAGUAAGGACUAACAAACUAACAUAUAUAUAUCACAUCAGAGUACUUAAUAGUUUGAUCCAUAUUAAAUCAUCCCACCUGGAUCGACCAAACUUCAAUUGUAUAUCUUGUUCUUAAGGACACGAUUUGAACAGUGAUGCAUGGAAUUUUCUAAAUUGGCAAAUUAUGUUUAAAUAUUCAGAAUGAAGAGGGUUGAGGAGGAGGGUUUUCUGUAUUGGAAAUAUAGUGUGUAUGGAAUACAACUUUUAGCAUCAAGAAGAUUACAUUUCGUAAUAAAAGUACUGCAGAAAAAACUACAGGCAUGCGUAGCAUGUUAAAUUAUCACUAUUUAAUAUGAACACUGUUGGAGAUUUAAAAAAAAAAAUAGAAAUGUUUUAAUAGUAAAUUUCUGUAUUUUGAAACUUCAUUGGGUGAAAAAUAUUGCUGACUGGAAUAACAACGCUAUACAAUGUAUAUGCAUUAAAAUUGUUCAAUGUUGACAUUUGGAAGAUUUAAAUUAUUUCAUAACUUAUCAUGACCACAAUUCAGAUCAUAUAAUGUAUUCAAGUAGCAGUAGUGUCUGUCUCGUAACGUUUCUAUAGUACAUGUAUUAAAAAAACAGUAUUUUAAU